rnacentral:rRNA from 1 species
AUUGAACGCUGGCGGCAGGCCUAACACAUGCAAGUCGAACGAGUGGCGGACGGGUGAGUAAUGUCUGGGAAACUGCAUGAUGGAGGGGGAUAACUACUGGAAACGGUAGCUAAUACCGCAUAACAUCAGUUGUGCACAGAUGGGCUUGGCUCGUGGGUGGGGUAACGGCUCACCAAGGCGACGCUCCCUAGCUGUUCUGAGAGGAUGACCAGCCACACUGAAACUAAGACACGGUCCAGACUCCUACGGGAGGAAGCAGUGGGGAAUAUUGCACAAUGGGCGCAAGCCUGAUGCAGCCAUGCCGCGUGUAUGAAGAAGGCCUUCGGGUUGUAAAGUACUUUCAGCGGGGAGGCGUUACCCGCAGAAGAAGCACCGGCUAACUCCGUGCCAGCAGCCGCGGUAAUAC